CUAAGAAGUUUGAUAAAUAUCUAGGUAUCCCUAUCCUCUAUCAUUACACCAGACCUGGUGACUUUACCUACAUUUUAGAUCUAAACGUGAAAACUUGAAACUCAACUUCCUUAGUCUAGCAGGCAGAACGACCCUUAAUGUCAUCCCCAACUACACUAUGCAAAAUCAAAUACUUUCGUUGGCAAUGCUUCCACCAUCACCUAAUCAAUACUCCUGAAGAUGCCAAGCAUAUCUUUAUUGAGUGUUUCAUUGCUAAUGAUCAAUCCCACUCCAAACACCCCUCACCUCAAGCUAAAUGUAGAUGGUGCUUUCAAUCCAAAAAAACAUACCGGCAGCAUAGGUGGUGCUAUUAAAGAUAGUAAUGGUAAUUUUGAAAGAUGGGUUUCAACAAAAAGGAGCACUCUUUGUUUAUGGAGAUCCUGGCUCUUCAAAAAGGUGUUGAACUUGCUUAUCAACAUCAUUUCCAACCCAUUCUCAUUGAAACCGACUCCACUGAGAUACAAGGAAAGGGAACUAUACCUUAACUUACCAAUCCUAAUCAGGAUUCUUAAGAUGCCUCAGAGUUGAUAAAAAUUCAAUCUUGCAAGUCCUACUAUUUUUAUGCUAAAUGAAAGGCAGGUUCUUGUCUCAAAGUUGCAGGUGGGAAACAACACUACGUAUACUUACCCUCUUCAAACCCCACUUAACACAAAUAUACAAGGUGUGUUGUUAUUUUAUUAGUGUAGGUGGGAUUUUUGUUUUUAUUUUUUUUGAAAGAAGUAGGGUCUGUUAAGUUCUCAUUUUAAGUCAUAUAAGAUUGUUUUAUAUUAAGAAUGUUGAAAUCAAAAUAUCUUACUUUCUUUUGGGAUCUUGAGGUCAAUUACCUAAGCAUAUGUGAAUUGUGAAGUUAGAUCAAGCACAUCAUAAUCAAUCACACAAGUUUGUGUUGUACAAAAAUUUAGUUUCUUCUAUGAUUGUAGCGUGUCCGGACCACUUGUGUGCACCUCAAACUAAUUUCAUGAAAUACAUGUUAUCUUCCUUCAACACAUGUUAUCGAGUUACUCUUAUGAUUAUCAAGAUUUAAAUUGAUUUUUCGUUAAUCAAACAAGCUCUCCAUAUGUUUUGAUUAUUUAGAAUAAUGAUUUCCAUGUGAAAUAUUAGUAGAAAUGACUAUUGUGAGGUCUAAACCACAAGAAGCUUAUUGUGAGCCAUAAUCAUGUAUUUAUGAAAUUGAUGUUUUUCAAAAUUUCAAUAAAGUGAAGUACUUUAUUUUGAAGAGAAGACGGGCAAAGGCCCUCAUAGGGCAUGGAUUAGAGACAUUUACAAAAUUAUAAUUUCAAGUGAUGUGGUGAUGGUUUAAGUAGAAGGUUGGUGGAUCUUUGAUCUCUGCCUUAUUCAUGGCGAAUUGAGAAUGAAAGGAUCAUGUUAUCGUCAAUUGCUUGAUGAAUAUUCAGAGUAAGCCUAAAAUUUUCUCAACUUGAAUCCACAGUCUUUUUGUUAUUCUUCUUGGUAAGUUGAUGGAGAGGAAUUGACCUAAAGGCUAAUAUUUAUAAUUUAUAUGUUCUACCUAUUGGUUAAGAUUUGUAUCUGUGUGUCACAAUAUCACCGACUGAAUAAGAAAAUGAUAAAAAGAGGAUACUAACAUAGAGGAUAAAACUUGCCUCAAAGUUAAAAAAUGAAAGCGACAUGUAGAGGUUGAUAAAAAUUGACCAUAUUAAUGUCGAACGAAGCUUGAAUGCUCAACAUCUGACUGUACUGAGGAAAAAUAAUAACAUGUAAAAGGGUUUACUUGAAGUAUUUUAGAUUUGUAAGAAAAUGUGCUCUUAAUUCCUAUAUUAGCUUGUGUAGCAUUGUUAUUUACAGGAAAUAUCUAGAAUCUGCGGUAAAUAAAUUAUGUUUCUAUAGAAUUAUUUGAUAAGCUCAUUUGUAAGAAAAUUCAUCAAGUCCACUAAAUGAGUUCAAUAUAUAUGCUUCAUAUAAUAUUCUGCACUUUAAAUGAUCCUCCUGAGUAGAGGCGACAAUAGGAUUUUGAGGUUAUGAGUUCUCGAUUCUAGAAAGACUACUUGUUGAAUUCUGGUCCUGAACUACUUCAUUCUGCUAAUCCGUGGACAAGCUUGUAGCUCUACCUCUACCUCUGCCUCCGAGUAUUCUUGAAGCUAAGAGAAACGACAUGUUCAUUUAAUACUCUUAAUCCCACCCUCCAACUUUCUCGGGUUGAGGCAUCUUAAAGGGUUUGAUACUCAUUUUCUAUGUUACUUGACUUUUCAGAAUUGUUGUUGCGUUCAUGUUGGACAAGGGAUCGGUGAAGUUUUUGAAGAGUUCGACCAGUAUAGCUUUCAUUAAGCCUAAACUUAACUAGCAAAGGGGGAGACCCAUGCCAUGCUCUGAUAUCAAUCAAAGAUGCUAGGCAACAAGUUCAAAAUCCAAAUGGCUUUUAAUGCUGGCUGACAAUAAUUAUGUGUUUUACUUCGAACAAUCUGGAAUAAUUAAGUGUGCAUCAGUUCAUUUUAUAAUUUUCCUGGAAAAUAACUUAAACAUUUUUAGUUUACCAUUUUGUAUAUUAAACGAAGUGUUUUAGUUCCUUUGAUAGUAGCUCUUAAACAAUUUUUCUGUUUGUGAAAAUCAAGAUAAAUUGUUUGAUUA